rnacentral:rRNA from 1 species
AAAAAAGGUAAGCUACUAAGAGCGAAUGGUGGAUGCCUUGACUGGUAAAGGCGAUGAAGGACGUACUAGACUGCGAUAAGCUACGGGGAGCUGUCAAGAAGCUUUGAUCCGUAGAUUUCCGAAUGGGGCAACCCAAUGUAUAGAGAUAUACAUUACCUAUAUAGGAGCGAACGAGGGGAAUUGAAACAUCUUAGUACCCUCAGGAAAAGAAAUCAAUAGAGAUUGCGUCAGUAGCGGCGAGCGAAAGCGCAAGAGGGCAAACCCAGUGCUUGCACUGGGGGUUGUAGGACUGCAAUGUGCAAGAGGUGAGUUUAGCAGAACAUUCUGGAAAGUAUAGCCAUAGAGGGUGAUAGUCCCGUAUGCGAAAAACAAACCUUAGCUAGCAGUAUCCUGAGUAGGGCGGGACACGAGAAAUCCUGUCUGAAGCUGGGUCGACCACGAUCCAACCCUAAAUACUAAUACCAGAUCGAUAGUGCACAAGUACCGUGAGGGAAAGGUGAAAAGAACUGAGGUGAUCAGAGUGAAAUAGAACCUGAAACCAUUUGCUUACAAUCAUUCAGAGCCCUAUGUAGCAAUACAGGGUGAUGGACUGCCUUUUGCAUAAUGAGCCUGCGAGUUGUGGUGUCUGGCAAGGUUAAGCAAACGCGAAGCCGUAGCGAAAGCGAGUCUGAAUAGGGCGCUUAGUCAGAUGCUGCAGACCCGAAACGAAGUGAUCUAUCCAUGAGCAAGUUGAAGCUAGUGUAAGAACUAGUGGAGGACUGAACCCAUAGGCGUUGAAAAGCCCCGGGAUGACUUGUGGAUAGGGGUGAAAGGCCAAUCAAACUUCGUGAUAGCUGGUUCUCUCCGAAAUAUAUUUAGGUAUAGCGUUGUGUCGUAAUAUAAGGGGGUAGAGCACUGAAUGGGCUAGGGCAUACACCAAUGUACCAAACCCUAUCAAACUCCGAAUACCUUAUAUGUAAUCACAGCAGUCAGGCGGCGAGUGAUAAAAUCCGUCGUCAAGAGGGAAACAACCCAGACUACCAGCUAAGGUCCCUAAAUCUUACUUAAGUGGAAAACGAUGUGAAGUUACUUAAACAACCAGGAGGUUGGCUUAGAAGCAGCCAUCCUUUAAAGAAAGCGUAAUAGCUCACUGGUCUAGUGAUUUUGCGCGGAAAAUAUAACGGGGCUAAAGUAAGUACCGAAGCU